GAAAAACACAAACCUCUAUCAGCGGAAUCCCACCGAGGAAACAUUGUUUACAGGAACAUCAACCACAUUGAUAUUCGCCCAGGAGCCCGAUUUGAAUCCAUUAAAGAUUGUAACAAUCACCCAGUGAACCACGAAAUGGUACCGAUCACUAUGAACAAUCCAAGACUGCCAGAGGUCCUUGAGCAUGCUAUCAAAAUUCCACAAAUACCCGAUGAACCUUUCAUAAACCUGAAUGUGCAGUCUAAUUUGAACACAAGAGUUUACACAUUACGGGAAGAAUCGGAAAUUGAAUCAGAUAACAA